GAUGAACGCUAGCGGCAGGCUUAAUACAUGCAAGUCAAGGGGUAGCAAUACACCGGCGUACGGGUGCGUAACGCGUAUGGAACCUGCCCUUAUCUGGGGGAUAACUCGGGGAAACUCGAGCUAAUACCGCAUAAGAUAGUAGAGAGGCAUCUCUUAGCUAUUAAAGAUUUAUCGGAUAAGGAUGGCCAUGCGUAAGAUUAGAUAGUUGGCGAGGUAACGGCUCACCAAGUCUACGAUCUUUAGGGGCUCUGAGAGGAGAAUCCCCCACACUGGCACUGAGAUACGGGCCAGACUCCUACGGGAGGCAGCAGUAGGGAAUAUUGGGCAAUGGGCGGAAGCCUGACCCAGCCACGCCGCGUGCAGGAAGACGGCCCUCUGGGUUGUAAACUGCUUUUAACUGGGAAGAAAGUAGUCCUUGCGAGGAAAGUUGACGGUACCAGUUGAAUAAGCCACGGCUAACUACGUGCCAGCCGCCGCGGUAACAC
rnacentral:rRNA from 1 species